rnacentral:rRNA from 1 species
UACGGAGGGUGCAAGCGUUAUCCGGAUUUACUGGGUUUAAAGGGUGCGUAGGUGGGCAGGUAAGUCAGUGGUGAAAUCUCCGGGCUUAACCCGGAAACUGCCAUUGAUACUAUCUGCCUUGAAUUUCCUGGAGGUAAGCGGAAUAUGUCAUGUAGCGGUGAAAUGCUUAGAUAUGACAUAGAACACCAAUUGCGAAGGCAGCUUACUACGGGAACAUUGACACUGAGGCACGAAAGCGUGGGGAUCAAACAGG